rnacentral:rRNA from 1 species
AGUGAACGCUGGCGGUAGGCCUAACACAUGCAAGUCGAACGGCAGCACAGUAAGAGCUUGCUCUUACGGGUGGCGAGUGGCGGACGGGUGAGGAAUACAUCGGAAUCUACUUUUUCGUGGGGGAUAACGUAGGGAAACUUACGCUACUACCGCAUACGACCUACGGGUGAAAGCAGGGGAUCUUCGGACCUUGCGCGAUUGAAUGAGCCGAUGUCGGAUUAGCUAGUUGGCGGGGUAAAGGCUCACCAAGGCGACGAUCCGUAGCCGGUCUGAGAGGAUGAUCGGCCACACUGGAACUGAGACACGGUCCAGACUCCUACGGGAGGCAGCAGUGUGGAAUCUUGGACAAUGGGCGCAAGCCUGAUCCAGCCAUGCCGCGUGAGUGAUGAAGGCCUUCGGGUUGUAAAACCCUUUUAUUGGGAAAGAAAAGCAGGAGGUUAAAGCCCGGCUGUUCUGACGGUACCUAAAGAGUAAGCACCGGCUAACUUCGUG